UCCAGCUCCUUCCCCCCUUGGCUUGCACCACACAGACACACCUUCCGCCGCCGCCGCCAGCGACUCCGGUCGUUUGCCAGCGAAAAAUUCCUCUCUUGUUUCUUUCUUUCCAUGGAUUCUCCCUGCUACAGAUGCAGAUGGAGACAUGUAGUCUCGUCCGUCCCUCUCGAUCUCGAGUAUCCGCUACAGUUCGUCGUCGUCCGGCCAGCAGCUUAAUUGCAAGAAGGGGCCGGCUGUGAAUCGAUGGUUCUUCAUGAAUCCUCCAUGUCGUGUUCAAGCUUGAUCCAGAUGAGCGUGUGAGGUGUUCUGCAGGCUGUUUUGUUAGCUGUCACCUCUCGGUCCCCAAAUUAAACAGCCGUUUCUGUUCCUUCUUUCCCAUUUCGUUCCUCAUGCAUGCCUAUGCUAAUCUUGAGUGAAAAAAUGGUAAUUAUUAGUUGAUACAAUAUAGCGCCUCCCGUGUUUUCCUGAUUUGAAAUGUCAAACUAAAACCAUACUAAUUUUCGAGGAUAAUUAGGAGCAUUUGUAUACAACUCUUUGCUAUGUUCACCGUGUCUUCCAUUUUCUGAAAACCCAUGUUUACCUUGCAGCUAGCUAGCACUGUAAUUGUUCUGACCAUCUUGUUCCUCACCAGCUCAUUCACAUGAAAAGGCUGUUACUACUUUCAAUUAGCUUUUCUUGUUUGGCUUUAUUUCUCUACUUUCCAUGGUUAUGGAAGUAUGUAGACGUUGAACUUGUAACGGCUGCUUUGCAGUUUGUAAUCUAGCCCUUUGCUGGGCUGGCGCUCUAGUCAUCUCGAAACGUAUGCGCUUUUUUUUUUAA